UCAAAAGAUCAAAACAACUGCUGCGGGUGAAUCGUCGUCGCCUUUUUUCUGUUUCGUUUGUUUUUUGUUUGCGCCGCGGUGCCGUGUUCCAGAUCACCGUGGAUGGAACGACCCGGUGGACCAGGACAACCACAGUGUCCAAGCUCGGAGGACUCUGCCGGAACCGGAGGAGUUUCUUGGCCGGCCGCCCAAGCCUUAACACUGACUUCGUCGGUGCCUCAACCCUUCAUCUAAUAAGAGGCAGAACCGUGUCAAGACUCACGCCACUACGGGGAUCACGACGACACCACGGGAUAAAAACAUCACCGUCUGUACGUGCGCGACCUGUAUCGGAUGGUUGCAGGACCUCCCGGUCUAAAAGUACGUCAUUGCGGACUACGAGGAUGACGACAAUGGGGACGAGUCGGAAGAGAAGCGGUUUCGUUUAACCCCGUCGACGGGAAAACGAAGACGAUCAUCCAGAAGGUCAAGGUCAAGAACAAUAAGAAUAAGACGGAGGCUUCGAUCCAGGUGAACAACAAGUUAAAGGAGUAUCAGAUCAAGGGACUGGAGUGGUUGGUGUCGCGCUAACAACAAUCUGAACGGAAUCUCGGCAGACGAUAUGGGAUGGGGUUAAGCCAAUCGCUUUGUUCACCUGCUAGAUGGAAAAGAAGAACAACGGCCUGUAAUUCGUCAAUGUUCUGCUGUCCACCCUCUCCAACUGGGUACUCCAGUGAACAGCUCCCGAUGUUCCACGGCUCGUCCGACCGCCUCAAGAACACGCUCUAAAAUCCGUAAGGUGGCCCGUAAGGCUGCUGACCGAGUCCGAGUUUAGCGGACCAUCUUACCUAAAUCUACAUCGAUCACUAAGAAGAAACUCUUCGAACAUGGGCACCAUCGAUCUUCAUUAUAUUCGUCUAAUUAAUCCGAGUGACCGAUCAAAUAGCCUCCAACGAGCAUUCCUCGAAGGUCGUCAAACUCAAACAACACCAUCACCAGCAACUCUGGGCUUCCAAAAGCCGAAACAUCCUCAAAAACUGAAGCGCGCCGGAAAACUCCGGUGAAAACAAAACUGGUGCGCUGCAAAAUCCCACCAUGCGGGAUCACAAAAACUAUUUAAUUUGAUUUGACUUUAUGUAAGAUGCAUUGGUGAAUACAAAAAUUAUCAAAAUAAAUAAAAUAACGAAACAUUAAUUAUUUUGUGCAAAGAAUGAAA